rnacentral:rRNA from 1 species
AUUGAACGCUGGCGGCAUGCUUUACACAUGCAAGUCGAACGGCAGCGGGGGCUUCGGCCUGCCGGCGAGUGGCGAACGGGUGAGUAAUGCAUCGGAACGUGCCCAUGUCGUGGGGGAUAACUACGCGAAAGCGUGGCUAAUACCGCAUACGCCCUGAGGGGGAAAGCGGGGGAUCUUUCGGGACCUCGCGCGAUUGGAGCGGCCGAUGUGGGAUUAGCUAGUUGGUGGGGUAAAGGCUCACCAAGGCGACGAUCCGUAGCUGGUCUGAGAGGAUGAUCAGCCACACUGGGACUGAGACACGGCCCAGACUCCUACGGGAGGCAGCAGUGGGGAAUUUUGGACAAUGGGCGCAAGCCUGAUCCAGCCAUGCCGCGUGAGUGAAGAAGGCCUUCGGGUUGUAAAGCUCUUUCGGCCGGGAAGAAAUCGCAUUCUCUAAUAUAGGAUGUGGAUGACGGUACCGGACUAGGAAGCACCGGCUAACUACGUGCCAGCCGCCGCGGUAAUAC